CCUACGGGCGGCAGCAGUGGGGAAUAUUGCACAAUGGGGGGAACCCUGAUGCAGCGACGCCGCGUGAGCGAUGAAGUAUUUCGGUAUGUAAAGCUCUAUCAGCAGGGAAGAAAAUGACGGUACCUGACUAAGAAGCCCCGGCUAACUACGUGCCAGCAGCCGCGGUAAUACGUGGGGGGCAAGCGUUAUCCGGAUUUACUGGGUGUAAAGGGAGCGUAGACGGUACUGCAAGUCCGACGUGAAAGCCCGGGGCCCAACCCCGGGACUGCAUUGGAAACUGCAAGGCUAGAGUGGAGGAGAGGCAGGCGGAAUUCCUGGUGUAGCGGUGAAAUGCGUAGAUAUUAGGAGGAACACCAGUGGCGAAGGCGGCUUGCUGGACGAUGACUGACGUUGAGGCUCGAAAGCGUGGGGAGCAAACAGGAUUAGAUACCCCGGUAGUC
rnacentral:rRNA from 1 species